AUUUCUCUGGUUCCCUUUUUAACAGCGUCCUCCGAAAAUUGGAUGAAGUAACUCACAGCUGGGAGGGUAAAGCCUGGGCCAUUCGAGGACAGGACUGCGGCCAUGAGCUGCUGCAGGGUCCCGCUUCUCCCCGAGAAGUAGGGCGAAGGCAUGACUGCAUUUUCAGGGCGCAUUACAGCCGCGCCUUCUGAUCUCUCUGCCUCUGACACUUGUCAAGUCUCUCCCAAUAAUCCGAGUAACAACAUCCUGUAAGGGGAAGUCAUCCAUCGAUGUAGAAAAACAACCUGUGCCAGGGUGCUUUGAUGUUAGUUUUUUCCCCCUGACUUGACUUGUCACAUUACACAGAUUUAUGUCCCCAGUACCAACUCAAUCCGCCUGGACAAACAGUUCCCAACCUACGAUGGUUCAACUUCAUGAUUCGGCAACUUCACCAUGGGGCAAGGAAAUAGUCUUUAGUGGAAACCACGGUGGCGAGCUGACAGCUGCAUUGCUAAGCGAUGGUACAGAAUAACUGUGAGAAAACAGAGGUAAAGAGGAAGUCUUGGGUACUAAUGGAUACUUAGUCUCAAAAAAAAAAUUAAGUGCUUUGCUAAAUGCAGGCGGAGAUAGAAUCACAUAGUUCAAGAGAACCUUUGUGCUGUGACCUCAUUGAGAGGUGGACUGUCCAAUCUGCAGAUGGACGAAUGCUGUAGUUUGGAUGCAUCCUGUCCUGCAGGUUCUUGUGUUUGAACACUCAGGCCCGGUUGGUGGUUCUGCUUUUAGAGCGCUAUGGAAACUUUAGGAGGCAAAGCCCACCUGGAGGAGUGGCCCCACUAUAAGAGGCACAUAGUGUGGGGAGCCGCCCUCACGUUCACCGUUGCAAGAUGGCGCUGACAUCCUGUGUUCUAAGUGGUAAACAAAUA